rnacentral:rRNA from 1 species
CCUAUGGGUACGGGGGACAGAUUAACAGGAUUAGAUACCCUGGUAGUCCACGCCGUAAACGAUGGGCACUAGGUGCCGGGGGGAACGACCCCUUCGGUGCCGCAGCUAACGCGUUAAGUGCCCCGCCUGGGGAGUACGGCCGCAAGGCUGAAACUCAAAGGAAUUGACGGGGGCCCGCACAAGCGGUGGAGCACGUGGUUUAAUUCGAAGCAACGCGAAGAACCUUACCUGGGUUUGACAUGCUGGUGAAAGCCCGGUGAAAGCCGGGCCCUCCUUCGGGACACCAGCACAGGUGCUGCAUGGCUGUCGUCAGCUCGUGUCGUGAGAUGUUGGGUUAAGUCCCGCAACGAGCGCAACCCUUGCCCCGUGUUACUAACAGGUAAAGCUGAGGACUCUCGGGGGACUGCCGGCGUCAAGCCGGAGGAAGGUGGGGACGACGUCAAGUCAUCAUGGCCCUUACGCCCAGGGCUACACACGUGCUACAAUGGCCAGGACAGAGGGCUGCAAGACGGCAACGUGGAGCGAAUCCCAUAAACCUGGUCUAAGUUCGGAUUGCGGGCUGCAACUCGCCCGCAUGAAGCCGGAAUCGCUAGUAAUCGCGGAUCAGCUACGCCGCGGUGAAUACGUUCCCGGGCCUUGUACACACCGCCCGUCACGCCAUGGAAGCCGGGAGUGCCCGAAGUCCGUGUCCUAACCCGCAAGGGAGGGAGCGGCCGAAGGCAAGCUCGGUGACUGGGGCGAAGUCGUAACAAGGUAACCAAUCU